CAAAUUGAGAGUUUGAUCCUGGCUCAGGACGAACGCUGGCGGCGUGCCUAAUACAUGCAAGUCGAGCGAGCUGAAUUCAAAGAUCCCUUCGGGGUGAUUUGUUGGACGCUAGCGGCGGAUGGGUGAGUAACACGUGGGCAAUCUGCCCUAAAGACUGGGAUACCACUUGGAAACAGGUGCUAAUACCGGAU
rnacentral:rRNA from 1 species